rnacentral:rRNA from 1 species
AUUGAACGCUGGCGGCAGGCCUAACACAUGCAAGUCGAACGAGUGGCGGACGGGUGAGUAAUGUCUGGGAAACUGCCUGAUGGAGGGGGAUAACUACUGGAAACGGUAGCUAAUACCGCAUACCAUCGGAUGUGCACAGAUGGGAUUAGCUAGUAGGUGGGGUAAAGGCUCACCUAGGCGACGAUCACUAGCUGGUCUGAGAGGAUGACCAGCCACACUGGAACUGAGACACGGGCCAGUCUCCUACGGGCGGCAGCAGUGGGUAAUAUUGCACAAUGGGCGCAAUCCUGAUGCAGCCAUGCCGCGUGGAUGAAGAAGGCCUUCGGGUUGUAAAGUACUUUCAGCGGUGAGGCGUUACCCGCAGAAGAAGCACCGGCUAACUCCGUGCCAGCAGCCGCGGUAAUUC